CUUAAUACAUGCAAGUCGAGCGAGGUUAUCUUUUCAAAGCCCUUCGGGGCAGCGAAUUUUUAACCUAGCGGCGGACGGGUGAGUAACGCGUGGGUAACCUACCCUAAAGCCCGGGAUAACAGCGGGAAACUGCUGCUAAUACCGGAUAGCUUUAUCUGGAGGCAUCUUCGGAUAAGGAAAGAUUUAUCGCUUUAGGAUGGGCCCGCGUCCCAUUAGCUAGUUGGUGAGGUAACGGCUCACCAAGGCGACGAUGGGUAGCCGGCCUGAGAGGGUGAACGGCCACACUGGGACUGAGACACGGCCCAGACUCCUACGGGAGGCAGCAGUAGGGAAUAUUGCGCAAUGGAGGGAACUCUGACGCAGCGACGCCGCGUGAGGAUGAAGGUCUUCGGAUCGUAAAGCUCUGUCCUUGGGGAAGAAGGUCUUCGGACUUGACGGUACCUAAGGAGGAAGCCCCGGCUAACUACGUKCCAGCAGCC
rnacentral:rRNA from 1 species